UGGGGAAAUAUGAUUUCUCGUUCGCUAUAAUACACAAGACAGAAUAGAAAUAUACCCUUCUACGUGAAGUCAAUAUUAUGUUUUCCUCUCACCCAAGCAACAAACAAUUGAAUGCCCAUAAUACCCCGGCCAUGCACAUCACUAUCUAUAUGAUGCAUCUAACAAAAUUACAAGGGCAAUAAGGUCAAGAUAAUAAGAAUUUUCACCCCAUCCCAUAGGUGCACACCUCAAUUGAACCAGGAUUCUUCGCAAUAUGUCGCAUACAAACAUUCAAAACAUUUAAUAAUCCUUGGAUCAAAAUCAAAUUCAAACUCAACAUUUUUGUAUUAAAAUUAAAAAUAAAACAAAAUCUACAUUAAAAUUUAAACCUUAGUAAAGAUGUUCCGACUUUGUGAAUGCGGUAAAUUGCCAAGACAUCCAAUUUCUAAAUUAAGAUGAUGUUUGAGGCAAAGAAAAUGUCGUCGUUACGGCGACACUGUUAUGAUCCUUGCAACUCAGUGCUUUAAGUAUUUUCCACGACACCUUACCGGAGCUCCGAUUCAAGUUCAAAUUUCCACUUGUUUCCGAAGCCGGAAACAUACUUUUCGAUGGAUUCCGGCGAACCUGACGGUUUUUAAUAUCAUUGAGUUCCAUUUCCGGCGGAUUCUUCAUCUUCCCAAACAUAAGAGAAUACCAGCGUGGUUUCAUUGCCUUCUUCGCCACACCUUCCAUCGAUGCAGCGCUCCUUAUAGAAGAAUUCCGAUCAACUUCCGGCACCUUUGAGAUAGGAAAACUUGAAGAAUACUCUCUCAAUUUACAGUAAUUAAGUGACCUGCUAUUCCUCAUCAUGAGAUGAUUAGAACCACC
rnacentral:lncRNA from 1 species